UCCGCUCUCGGUUGCGCCUCCGUUCGUCGCUGGUAAUCCUUGCUCUCCGCCCGUCCCUCCUUCCAUCGCAGGUUUCGGGGCCAGAAGUCUCUCUCCGCUGGUUGGGAGCGAUUCCGGAGAGGAGAAAGAAUGCCUGGAGGAAGGAUCCCUCCACCAUGGCGAGUUCUUGGGACUGCUACAGCAUUCGUCUUCGGGGGCUUGUUCACUCUGUCCCUCGCUUCUUCUGUGGCUAUGCGAUCCCUGCAAUCCUUAGCAGAAGCUAAGCGGAAGAAGGUGGCCCUGCCUUGUUCAGCAUGUAAAGGGAAAGGCUUCUAUGGAUGCAAGUUAUGCAAUGGGAAAUCCACCAUCGAGUGGUCUCCUUUGUAUGAUCCUAUAGUUAUCAACCCUUGUCUCUGCCCUACCUGUGAAGGAAACAGAAUCCAGAGAUGCUUGAACUGUCUUGGGAAGGGUUAUGCAUGAUUCAUCUUAUGCUAUGAUCAACAGGUGGAGAUUUCUGUGGCAUCAUAGCGGGAUCUUAAUUUUUCUUAAACAUUAUUGAGGCUGACGCAAGAGGUGUCGGUUCUUGGCCCAGGCAUGAUCAGAGUCCAUGGAUUUGCUUAUUUUUCCCUGAAAAGAUGAUAGGACAGGAGGACAUGCAAAAAGAAAGUAGCAUGGUUAAUGAGGCAGAAUACAUUACUGUGUAUAGGUACCUUGUUUUGGGCAAGAAUACAUAACAGUACGGGCAUCAGAAAUCUAUGCUACCUUUCAGGUUCCAAUGAAUCAUCAGAAUCACUUCGUUCAGCUUCGCCUCCACCAGUCUUUUCAUCUGGCUUUGCAGUAGGCACCAGAGCCUCUUUUUUGCGCUGACCACCUGCCUCAGGCUUGAACCUACUUAACAGUCGCCGAAGGACAUUAAGCAGUAAGAAUCAGUUCUCGUAAUGCA